GAAGAUCAUAGCAACACUGCUCGUGACCCUGGUCGUAUGCUUGUGCAUUAAUGGUAUUUUUGGUUACCCAACAACAUCCAAAUCUAAUUCCUAUACAUCUAAAUAUGAUUUGUCCACGGCAAACUAUGGUACAAACAAAUAUGUUAAUACGAAAUAUGGUCCGUCCCCAACAGCCCAAUAUAGACAGACUACACAAGGAUAUGUUGUACGAAGCACACCAAUAUACGUCAAAACAAUAGCAAGAUACGCCAAAACCACAGCAAAACCGAAGAAAUCUUGGUUUUUUAAAAACUAAAAUCUAGUAAUAGACUUUGACUAAAUCCAAUAGUAAA